rnacentral:rRNA from 1 species
GCGAGUCAUUGGGACUUGCUAAACCUAAAGGCGUAAUGAAAGUGAAGGCCCGCCUUGCGCGGGCCGAGGGAGGAUGGGUGGCGAUACUUCGCCGCCCCGCACUCCCGGGGCGUCUCGUUCUCAUUGCGAGAAGAGGCGCACCCAGAGCGUACACGCUGGGACCCGAAAGAUGGUGAACUAUGCCUGGUCAGGACGAAGUCAGGGGAAACCCUGAUGGAGGUCCGUAGCGAUUCUGACGUGCAAAUCGAUCGUCGGAACUGGGUAUAGGGGCGAAAGACUAAUCGAACCAUCUAGUAGCUGGUUCCCUCCGAAGUUUCCCUCAGGAUAGCUGGCGCUCGCUUUGCGAGUCUCAUCCGGUAAAGCGAAUGAUUAGAGGCAUUGGGGUCGAAACGGCCUCAACCUAUUCUCAAACUUUAAAUGGGUGAGAUCUCCGGCUUGCUCGAACUUGAAGCCGCGAGAAUUUACAAGGAUCAGAGUGCCAAGUGGGCCAUUUUUGGUAAGCAGAACUGGCGCUGUGGGAUGAACCAAACGCAGAGUUAAAGCGCCUAAAUCGACGCUUAUGGGAUACCAUGAAA